GAUUCAAUUCGGAUUCGGAGAUUUGGCCACCAAAUCGAGCCAAACUGAAUCAGGGACCAAAGCUUUGCACAGCCCUAAUGUGUAUCUAUUCUACUGCAACACAGGCAAGAACUAGAUGUUUUUAAAAUUCAAAAAUAGGUUCUCAGUAACAAAGGGUCUACUUCUAAGGUCCUCCUUGGUACAAGUACUGGAGGCUCAUGAUGAGUAUUGUGGCCUUUGGGACAAAAUACACAUUGCAAUGGUUUAUGUCCAUACACUCCUAACACUGAUUGUACACUGUUUGUCUAUGUAGAAACACCCAUGAAAAAUAUUUAUUUUGUUAGCAGGCACAAACAGAUUAUAUUAGUUGUAGGGCUGGUUUUCAUUAGAAUUAGAAAGAUGCACUAAUAUCUUUGCAGUUUAUUUGUAUGCUCAUUCUGGAGUUUCAUACACCUGUUUCUCUCACAAAACUGCGAAUGACUGCGCUUUCACAUAACGAGAAACCAGAGCACUGCGAAAUAGUAACAAUUUGUAAUACAAUGAGCACAAAAGUAGAUAAAACAAGUCACUUAAAGAUAUCCAAUUCAAAACCAAUGUUAUUUUUAUUUCCGUUAUGUCAGUGAAAUUCUCAUUGAUGCCAGCAGAAUUCAGUGCACAUAUUAAAAAGAACUUAAGAUCCCUUUUUUUUUUUUGGUUUCUUAUAGUUUAUCAAUGACCUAACAAAUAUUUGCUGAAUAUUAAUAGCAGUCGUUUUUACAUGCUCAAUGCAACAGCACCUCAACACUGCUACAAAAAAUACACAUUUCAUUUUUGACAUCUCUUGUUAUGUGCUAAUACUGUCCCAUUUUUCUGACAGGACACCAUCCAUAUGGAGAAUGUUUCUGCAACUUAACACAUUAUAAAUAAUAACAUUUUAGCAACUUUCUACCACUACAGCCUCAAAUGCCCAAGUAAAAACCACAACUCUCUGUUUGAGAUAAUGCCAUACUGAACUGUUAGGGUAAAAUGAUACCGCACUGACAGUCUUCAAACUAUGUAAAGAAUAUACAAAAGCGAUGUGAUCUGUGGAAAAAUGAUUUAAGUUUGGUACCAAGCUGUGAAGCUAAUUGCGUACUUAACCAAAAUGCUACUCAAGUCAAUGGUGUAAAAGUGGAGUAAGUGGUUAAACUCAGGGUGUGAUACAUGAGACAUUAAGUGCAUAGUUGAUUAAUUAGCUCCACAGUAAACAUCUUAAGGUCUAUACCUGCAGAGUUAUUAGGCUGGAGUAAACUAAACUCCACAGCAGGAUAGUACGUGUAAAUACAAGCACUAUACUACUAUGGAGUUUUUUACUCCAUAACAGCGCACGUGUUUUACUCCGUAACAGCGGCUGGCUGGGGCAUGGGGGUGCUUCAGUGCAGGGGCUGCCUGCUAGCUAGGGCCACACUAGAGCAGCCCUGUGCCCCAGCUAGCCCCUCCUCAGCACACUGAGCAGAGUCGGAGCAGGCUCAGACUGGCAGGCUGAGCCACUGGCAGGGCCCGCUGCCAGCCGGGACUGCUCCAACCCAGCUCAACAUGCUACAGUCCUGGGCACACAUUCAAAUGGCAUGCCUGGAAGCAAGAACUCUGGCACAAAAACUAGAGUUUAUUGUUUCACGUUCAUUGCACGUGUAGAUGUUCCCUCAAUUUAUUCUGGAUUUGCAUCAAUAUAACAUAAUUUUACUCUCUAGAACCAAGAUACCAUGGUGACUACUGCUCUGUAAACACUAUAAGUAAAUUAAAGAUAUCAGAUCAAGUUCAGCCCUUGGGUAAGCAAGUUCAACUCCUUAGGCUCAUCUGUUGACAAAGGCAGAAGCAAAACUUAAAAUCAUACAAAUUAAAAUCUACUAAUUCCCAUGUCCCAAUGUACAACCACAUGUGGACUCAAGUUGGUGUAAUUUACACACUGAGAAGACAGAAAAAUUGGUAGGAAAGUGCAACUUACAAGUGGUAAUUAUUUGAACAAGUAACUUAUACCACUAUUUUUUCUGAACAACUCCAAGCCAGAUUUUUUGCCUAUUGCUUACUGUAACAGGGAAACUAACAUACCCAUUACUGUAAGGGAAAAUCUUGCAGCAGACAGAGUCCAGGAAGCUAAAUAGAGGGUAGCAGGCACCAGGGAAGCUAAAUAGAAGGAGCAGGCAUCAGUGAAGCCCUGUUACUGGAGCAGAUGACUGACUGCAGCAAAGGAAAAGGAAAACACCUGCCACCAGUCAAGGGAACACUGCAUGGAAGAAGUUGGCAACAGUAGAGCAGAGCCUAGCCAGGCAACAAGGAGCCAUAGCUGUACUUGUCAGCUCCCAUGGCAACUAUUUGGUGGGUCCUGAUGAAUCAGCCCUGAAGGGGUGGGACUUAAGAGGUAUAAAAGUCAAGGGCUUGAGACCAGAGGCAGUCUAUCUCUGAAAGCUGCCAGUGAAGGAGCUCUGCCCUGAAAAGGACUUUGUCAGAGAGACUGGCUGGGAGCUGUUUGCCCCAAAGUCAAUAAACUACAGGGAUGGAGACCUGUACUUAAAGGACCAGAGCCGAGAGACCCAUUGAGAGCUGCCUGCAAUAAAGGCUAUAAGCAAAAGGCUACAGGAUUACAGAGGAAGGAAAACACUAAUAAUCGUAUAUCUCGGAAAAGACAUCUGAAGUGCAAAGAUUAUUAUUCACAAUAAUGCAAUGAUGCAUUUCAUGAUAUCAUGGAUUCCAUAAGUACACAUUAA